rnacentral:lncRNA from 1 species
AUGGGUAAUUCAACUUUCAUAGAGUUCAUUGUCUUUUACUUUCUUUUGUUUGCUUCACAGAUGGAGUACUUUAUAAUGCCUAUGAAAAAUUUUCCAUCUGGAUUAGAUCAACCUCAAAUGGAAGACAAAGAGAGAGAGACAGGGUCUUCCUCUGUCACCCAGACUGGAACGCAAUGGCAUGAUCAUAGCUCACCGCAGCCUCCAAUUCCUGAGCUCAGAAGAUCCUCCCGCUUCAACUUCCCAAAGUGCUGGGAUUACAGCUUGAAGAACUCUCUUUAAUAUUUCUUGUAUGGCAGAUAUCGUAGUGAUGAACUCCCUCGACUUUUGUUUGCUGAAGUUUCUCCUUGAUUUCUGAAGGACAAUAUUUUUCUAGGUAUAGUAUUCUUAGAUGAAAUUUUUUUUCUUUCAAUAUUUUGAAUUUAUUGUUUAACUCUCUCCUGGCCUGCAGGGUUGAGAAAUCCACUGACAAUUUUUUGGAGGUUCCCCCAUUAUGUGAUGAGUUGCUUUUCUCUGGCUGCUUUCCAAAUCCUUUAUCUUUGACUUCUGACAGUUUUAGUAGACCUAUUCAGGUUUAACCCAUUUGGGAACUUUUGGCCCUAAUGGAUCUGGAUGUCCAUUUCUUUCUCCAAAUUUGGAAGUUUUCGGGCAUUAUUUCUUUAAAUAGAAUUUCUGUCCCUUUCUCUAUAGCUUCCCCUUCUGGGACCUCAAAAAUGUGUAUAGCCAGAUGCAGUGGCUCAUGCCUGUAAUCCCAGCACUUUGGGAGGCUGAAGCAGGAGGAUCACUUGAGGCCAGGAGUUCUAGACCAGCCUGGUCAACAUGGUGAAACCUCGUCUCUAUUAAAAUACAAAGAUUAGCCAGGUGUGGUGGGGGUACCUGUAAUCCUAGCUACUCGGGAGUCUGAGGCAGGAGAAUCGCUUGAACCUGGGAGGCAGAGGUUGCAGUGAGCCGAGAUCAUGCCACUGCACUCCAGCCUGGGCAACAGAGCAAGACUCAAUCUCCAAAAAACAAACAAACAAAAACAAACAAAAAAAGCGUAUAAUAUUAGCUUGAUGAUGUCCUAUAAAUUAUGCAGGUUUUCUUCACUUCUUUUCAUUAUUUUGUUUUUGCUCUCCUGACUGGAUAAUUUCCAAUGACUUCUUAAAUUUCACUGACUCUUCUGCUUGAUCUAGUCUAUUGAAGCUCUCUGUUGAAUUUUAAUAAUUGCUCAAGGAUUUGUUUUUGAUUUUUUGAUGGUCUCUAGUUGCUUAUCUGUGUUUUCUUAUAGCUCAAUGAACUCCUUUCUGAGCAUUAUUCUGAAUUCUUUGUCAGUCAGUUCAUGCAUUUUCAUUUACUUAGCGUCAGUUAUUGGAGCUUUAUUAGUUUCCUUUGGUGGUGUCAUGUUUGCCUGAUUCAUCAUAAUUGGUGUAUCCUUACAUGGGUGUCUGUGCAUCUGAGGAAGCAGUCACCUCUUCCAGCCUUGACAGGUUUGCUUCAGCGGGGAAAGACCUUCACUAGUCAGCCCAACCUGGAGUUCUGAAUGAGCCAACUGAUAGUGUCUGAAGGUAGGGAAGGCUUGUUGUUAAGGUCUCUGGUUGAGCAAAGUAACUGUCCCAUGUUUUGAGGUCUGGUGGUACUACUGGCUGAGCCCCACAGUCAGGUGGGUCCACUAGAUGGACUUCAUGUUAGAGAUGGACUCAGGGAGAGACACUGGAUUGCAUCUUCAAUUUUCCCUGGUCAGGUGGUGCUCCAGUCUGUUUCCCAGCCAGAUGUGGGAAUGUUUCCCAGCCAGAUGGUGCCACUGGCUUGGCUCCAGAUUGAGGUGGGGUCUCAGGCUGUGAUCUGUGAUUGGGUGGGGCUGCACGCUGUGCGUAGCAGUUGGUUGGGAUCACUUACUGUGCUCCACAUUGGGUGGAGCAUCUGCCUUGGCCCCCUGAGCAGGCAAAAACACAGGCUGGGCUCUGCAGCCAGGUGAGGCUGCUGGCUUGAUUCCCUGACUGUGUGGGACUUCUGGCUGCGCUCUGUGGCCAAACUGAACCACUGGCUCAGGACCCCAGCUGGGCAGAACUGCUGACCAUGCUCCCUGGCUAGAUGGGGCCACUGGCUGGGUUUUGCAGGUGGGUGGGCUCUCUUGUCAGUCAAGGUCACCAGCCAGGAUGAAAAGCCACCACCAAGAUCAAGGUACUGGUUACUAUGAGUCAUGCCCUCCUUCUCUGUCCCUAGCUAAUCCCUGCCAAUUUCCCCAGUGCUCUCCAUAAGGUGAGAUAGAAGUGGGCCUCCUGGUAAGUGUCUCUGAAUGUUGGAGAAGCUGAAUGUCUAUCUUGGACUCUCUUUUUCCCACUGGGGAAACCAUAGGCCCAAGAGAACCCUAUUGAUGUAGUACUGUGCUAGCCUGAGACAGGGAUGACAUAGUAAAGGUGAGACUGUUUCUCUUAUCCUUUUAAUGUGGGUUUUUCUGUUUUGUACUCCAAAAGGGUGGUUUGGGCCUUGUCUUUGGGUUCUGAUAUUUU